rnacentral:lncRNA from 1 species
GUACAUCAUCUGGUUUCUCUUCAUCAAUGGCAAUGUCUAGACCCUGCUGAAAAAGGGCAUCUAGAACCUCACUUUGCCACAUACCAAAAUGGCAUGUGCCAUCAAAGAUCUCCACGGCCAGUCUUGCAUUUGCAAUUGUCGGUCUUGUCCACAUGGACGAUGUUGAAGCUCCUACACCGACCGUUUUCUCCAUAAUCUUUCAAUAUACCUAAGGAAAUCUUUUCUGAUGUGGAAGAUCAGUUUAAACUGCAACCACAGAGCAUACUACAAUUAACCUUCGGCUCUUGAUACCACUUGUUGUUCCAAUAGGGUCGGAAGCGUGUAAAUUAUUGUACUAAAAAAUCACACAAAGUUCAAUUCCCAGGGAAGAGAGGUGGAUCACAUGGAUCUCUUAAAUACCAAGUCUUUCCUUAGACAGAAUAUCCCUUCUAUAGUAAUUUAAUAGCACAAUUAAAUACUACUAUUAUACCCUCAAAUAUUGAAAGAAAAAUAGGACAAGAAAGAACACAAGAGAUUUAACGAGGUUCGGUAAAUUAUACCUACGUCCU